GCAGCCUGACGGAGCGACGCCGCGUGCGGGAUGAAGGCCUUCGGGUUGUAAACCGCUGUCAGUAGGGAGCAAAUGCAUUAGGGCAAUCUCUAAUGUUUGAGCGAUCUGCAGAGGAAGUCCGGGCUAAGUACGUGCCAGCAGCCGCGGUAACACGUACCGGACGAACGUUAUUCGGAAUCACUGGGCUUAAAGAGUCCGUAGGCGGCUCGGUAGGUGAGGUGUGAAAUCCCACGGCUCAACCGUGGAACUGCGCUUCAAACCACCGGGCUUGAGGGAGAUAGAGGUGAGCGGAACUGAUGGUGGAGCGGUGAAAUGCGUUGAUAUCAUCAGGAACACCGGUGGCGAAAGCGGCUCACUGGGUCUCUUCUGACGCUGAGGGACGAAAGCUAGGGGAGCGAACGGGAUUAGAUACCCCGGUAGUCCUAGCUGUAAACGAUGAGCACUAGUCCGAGGGGACCUCCACAUCUUC
rnacentral:rRNA from 1 species